AGUGGCGGACGGGUGAGUAACGCGUGAGAAUCUGCCUUGGGGUCGGGGACAACCACUGGAAACGGUGGCUAAUACCGGAUAAGCCGAUUGGUGAAAGAUUUAUUGCCCGAAGAGGAGCUCGCGUCUGAUUAGCUAGUUGGUGAGGUAAGAGCUCACCAAGGCAGCGAUCAGUAGCUGGUCUGAGAGGACGAUCAGCCACACUGGGACUGAGACACGGCCCAGACUCCUACGGGAGGCAGCAGUGGGGAAUUUUCCGCAAUGGGCGAAAGCCUGACGGAGCAAGACCGCGUGAGGGAGGAAGGCUCUUGGGUUGUAAACCUCUUUUCUCAGGGAAGAAGCUCUGACGGUACCUGAGGAAUCAGCCUCGGCUAACUCCGUGCCAGCAGCCGCGGUAAUGCGGAGGAGGCAAGCGUUAUCCGGAAUUAUUGGGCGUAAAGCGUCCGCAGGUGGCGAUUCAAGUCUGCUGUCAAAGCACGGGGCUUAACUCCGUAAAGGCAGUGGAAACUGAAUAGCUAGAGUGCCGUAGGGGUAGAGGGAAUUCCCGGUGUAGCGGUGAAAUGCGUAGAGAUCGGGAAGAACAUCGGUGGCGAAAGCGCUCUACUGGACGGCAACUGACACUCAGGGACGAAAGCUAGGGGAGCGAAUGGGAUUAGAUACCCC
rnacentral:rRNA from 1 species